rnacentral:rRNA from 1 species
GAGUUUGAUCCUGGCUCAGAUUGAACGCUGGCGGCAUGCCUUACACAUGCAAGUCGAACGGCAGCACGGGAGCUUGCUCCUGGUGGCGAGUGGCGAACGGGUGAGUAAUGCAUCGGAACGUAUCCUGGAGUGGGGGAUAACGUAGCGAAAGUUACGCUAAUACCGCAUAUUCUGUGAGCAGGAAAGCGGGGGACCUUCGGGCCUCGCGCUCUUGGAGCGGCCGAUGUCGGAUUAGCUAGUUGGUGAGGUAAAGGCUCACCAAGGCGACGAUCCGUAGCAGGUCUGAGAGGAUGAUCUGCCCCACUGGAACUGAGACACGGUCCAGACUCCUACGGGAGGCAGCAGUGGGGAAUUUUGGACAAUGGGGGCAACCCUGAUCCAGCCAUGCCGCGUGAGUGAAGAAGGCCUUCGGUU